CGUAGAGAUGUGGAGGAAUACCGAUGGCGAAGGCAGCCCCCUGGGAUAAUACUGACGCUCAUGCACGAAAGCGUGGGGAGCAAACAGGAUUAGAUACCCUGGUAGUCCACGCCCUAAACGAUGUCAACUAGCUGUUGGGGUCUUCGGGCCUUAGUAGCGCAGCUAACGCGUGAAGUUGACCGCCUGGGGAGUACGGUCGCAAGAUUAAAACUCAAAGGAAUUGACGGGGACCCGCACAAGCGGUGGAUGAUGUGGAUUAAUUCGAUGCAACGCGAAAAACC
rnacentral:rRNA from 1 species